rnacentral:rRNA from 1 species
UACGGAGGGGGCGAGCGUUAUUCGGAAUUAUUGGGCGUAAAGGGCGCGUAGGCGGCCGGAUAAGUCAAAGGUGAAAUCCCUCGGCUCAACUGAGGAACUGCCUUUGAAACUGUUUGGCUCGAGUCCGGGAGGGGGUAGCGGAAUUCCCAGUGUAGCGGUGAAAUGCGUAGAUAUUGGGAGGAACACCGGUGGCGAAGGCGGCUAUCUGGACCGGUACUGACGCUGAUACGCGAAAGCCAGGGGAGCAAACGGG